UUUCCACGUCAAUAAUGAUGGCAAUUCUGAUGUAUUUCUCUAUACUAAAUUUAGAAUAUUUGCAUCUUUUCCUUUUUAAUAUUGCUAAAAAGAGCAGGUAAUGAAU